CCUAGCAUUCAAAAUGUGUAUGGAGCUACAAAGAUCCUGUUUAAUCCUGAUGUUGAGGAGGCAGCUCCACUUCGUGAAAGGAUUUUUUUGAACUGAAUGACCCUGCAUCCCAGGUCUUGAGUUAGCUACAAGACUCUUGCAAAGUUCCCGUUGCCGAAGAUUUCUUGAACCUUACCGAAGGGAAGACAAUUGAGCAGAUAAAAGAUUUAUCAGAGAAAAAGAGUGUUGGUGAUGACUCUGCUGGAGCUUCCCAAGAUUCUGAAACUGGUAAAGAGGCUGAAUUGAAUAUCUCUGUUGAAUGCCAGAUUUCCCCUCACUCCCAGCGUCCAUCACCCCCUGAUGCUGAAGUUGUUGGAAACUCAGUUGCUGGCAAGAAACCUCUGAAUCUCUGAUAGUUGUGGAAAAUGAGAAGAUCUGAAGAUUGUUUUUUUGUUGUGCUGGCUGUUAGUUAUUUGUCAGUGUUGUGUUUUCCAGUUUUCAGUUUCAUUUCAAUCUUCCUAUUAUUAGUU